rnacentral:rRNA from 1 species
GACGAACGCUGGCGGCGUGCCUAAUACAUGCAAGUAGAACGCUGAAACUUGGUGCUUGCACCGAGCGGAUGAGUUGCGCACGGGUGAGUAACGCGUAGGUAACCUGCCUGGUAGCGGGGGAUAACUAUUGGAAACGAUAGCUAAUACCGCAUAAGAGUAGCUGUUGCAUGACAUUUGCUUAAAAGGUGCAAUUGCACCACUACCAGAUGGACCUGCGUUGUAUUAGCUAGUUGGUGGGGUAACGGCUCACCAAGGCGACGAUACAUAGCCGACCUGAGAGGGUGAGCUGCCACGCUGGGAUGGGGACACGGCCCAGACCCCUACGGGAGGGAGCAGUAGGGAAUCUUCGGCAAAAGACGGAAGGCGGACCGAGCAACGCCGCGUGAGUGAAGGAUGUUGUCGGAUCGUAAAGAUCAGUUGUAAGAGAGGGACGAGUGUGAGAGUGGAAAGUGCACACUGUGACGGUAUCUGACCAAAAAGCGACGGCUAACUACGUG